rnacentral:rRNA from 1 species
UACGUAUGUCGCAAGCGUUAUCCGGACUUAUUGGGCGUAAAGCGCGUCUAGGCGGUUUAGUAAGUCUGAUGUGAAAAUGCGGGGCUCAACCCCGUAUUGCGUUGGAAACUGCUAAACUAGAGUACUGGAGAGGUAGGCGGAACUACAAGUGUAGAGGUGAAAUUCGUAGAUAUUUGUAGGAAUGCCGAUGGGGAAGCCAGCCUACUGGACAGAUACUGACGCUAAAGCGCGAAAGCGUGGGUAGCAAACAGG